rnacentral:rRNA from 1 species
UACGGAGGGUGCAAGCGUUACUCGGAAUCACUGGGCGUAAAGAGCGCGUAGGCGGGAUAGCAAGUCAGAUGUGAAAUCCACAGGCUCAACCUGUGAACUGCAUUUGAAACUGUUUCCCUUGAGUAUCGGAGAGGUCAUCGGAAUUCCUAGUGUAGCGGUGAAAUGCGUAGAUAUUAGGAAGAACACCAGUGGCGAAGGCGGAUGACUGGACGACAACUGACGGUGAGGCGCGAAAGCGUGGGGAGCAAACAGG